ensembl:lncRNA
CUCUUUUAUUAAAGGGUUGUGUUUCUCUUCUGUCAACACCUAUUCUUUAGCAUACAUCUCUGCUAUCAUUCAGGAAAAUGUUGGCAUAACAUUUUUUUUUUCUUUUUCUUUUUUUCCUUUUAAAUUCAUUUCUGUAGCCGGGCUUUUCCUUUUAAGUCUCCUUCAUUUCUGUCAUCGGUUUCAACCCCGAAGUUCUCACUUUUGCAAGACAAUGCGCUAUUUUCACACGUGUAAAACACUGAGCAAAGUGGAAUCGCAGAUGUCACAUUUACAUGUUUAUGUUUUUUGUUUCUUUUUUUUUCUCUGCCAGUCGCUCACUUCAACUCUCCAAGCCCAAGGUACUGCAGUGGAGCUGAGAUUCCCUGCGUUCCUGCAUGCAGACCUCCAGCUUUCUGAAACGAGUAGUAUGAUAUAGGUGAACUCAUCUGAGGAUCAGGUGGGAGAUGGAGUACAGAAAGAUCAACACAUGAUGUGUGGUAAGACGAGAAAGGAGAACUUCCUAGGUCAAUUUUGUCCUGCACAGAAGAGUCUGUCCUUGCCUUUUUGUUCAUCUGCAGCACUGUGAGGAAACCAAAGGCAGCCUGUUCGUUCUGUGGUCACUUACUGUGUUCUGAUGGAGCCAGGAAGAAUAAAUAACAACCAACAGCAACUGUAACUGAAGUAGCAUGGGCUGCUCAAGAAGCACAUUGGAUCCCUUAACUCUGUGAGCAAAUGAUGCUAGUGACCUGCCAGACACAUCUCCAUU